CAGUCCCUUACCUAUCUACCAAUUUCCUCUUUCCUAGGAACAGAUGGUUUCUGGGCAAUACUUAUAAUAAAUAUAUACAAUGUAUUAGAGGGCCUAUUACCAGCCAGCAACUCAACAUGUGUUAUCUCUAUCCUUAUAGCAUCUAAUGGGGGUGGGUUUUGUUAUUCUCACUUUACAGGAAACAGGCAGAAGGAAUAAUAAGGAAACAGGCAGAAGGGCACUUGUCUAAGAAUAUACAAAUAGUAAAUGGCAGAGCUGGAAUUCACAUUCUCUUCUAAACAUAUGUUAGAGACAGGAUCUCUCUCUGUUGCCCAAGCUAGAGUGAUGUGGUGCAGUCAUAGCUCACUGCAGCCCCAAACUCCUGAGCUCAAGUGAUCCUCCCACCUCAGCCUCAAGUAGCUGGGAUUACAGGUAUGUGCCACUGUACCCAGCUCACAAUCUGUUUUGUCUGGUUCUGAGAUGACACUUUCUUUGUGACAUCAUGCUGCUAUAGACUGUCUAAAUUUCCUGAACCCAAAUGUUUAAAACUCCAGCACAAUAGUGUAGAAGUUCACUGGUAUACAAGUUCAAAUUAUACCCUAACCUCUCUUACUCCUGCUGAAUCAGAACAUCAAAAACAGCCUCUUGAGAGAAUCCAAAUUCAUGUGAGAAGUCCUGGCUCUGUCAGCUGUUCCUCAACUAGUAUCUUUCAAAGCAUGACUGAUGGGAUAAUGAGGACUGCCCUGAAAGGCUUCUCCAAGAUCAUGGGAGGCUGCCAAUUGGAAGGUACCAGAAACCGACACAACUAAAUUGCUCAGCCCUGUGAACCUCUUUCUCCACCCACACUACUGGUUUUUCAUGUACCUUCAACCUUCUAUUCAUCCAUCUCUUCAGCCAGGCAGGCAGGCAGGCAUCCUCACUGAGCGCCUCCCAGGUGAUAGGCCUGUACUGGGCUGAGGGGUACAAUGGCAAAUAACAUCUAACCACUAGUUCCAAGGAGCUUAUAGUCCACACAGCAACUACCACUUAGUGGGGGCUUAGUAUAUAUUUGUUGAAUGAAUAUCAUGGAAAUGUAUGAAUUACUACAGUAAGGAUUUAUAAACCACACCUCCGGUUCCUUCCCACUUACACAGAUGAUUUAUCUAGAGCUGCAGGAUACAUCAGUAGAAAAACCUCACUGGCUCUUAAGCUUGUCUGUUUUUCUCAUUUUUUAAAAGCAAUGAAUAUGUAGCAAUUUGGAGGUGGAAGAAAAUACAAUCCAAUAGAUGCCAUUUGCAUUUUAAAAGGCAUUGGAAAUAAAUAACAUUUGGGCAGAAAAGACA
rnacentral:lncRNA from 13 species